CCUACGGGGGGCAGCAGUGGGGAAUAUUGGGCAAUGGGCGCAAGCCUGAACCAGCCAAGUCGCGUGAGGGAAUAAGGCCCUACGGAUCGUAAACCUCUUUUAUAAGGGAAUAAAGUGUGGGACGUGUCCUAUUUUGUAUGUACCUUAUGAAUAAGGAUCGGCUAACUCCGUGCCAGCAGCCGCGGUAAUACGGAGGAUCCGAGCGUUAUCCGGAUUUAUUGGGUUUAAGGGGUGCGUAGGCGGCCUUUUAAGUCAGCGGUGAAAGUCUGUGGCUCAACCAUAGAAUUGCCGUUGAAACUGGGGGGCUUGAGUAUGUUUGAGGCAGGCGGAAUGCGUGGUGUAGCGGUGAAAUGCUUAGAUAUCACGCAGAACCCCGAUUGCGAAGGCAGCCUGCCAAGCCAUGACUGACGCUGAUGCACGAAAGCGUGGGGAUCAAACAGGAUUAGAUACCCCUGUAGUC
rnacentral:rRNA from 1 species